UGAGGAACAUGACCUUCGGCGGGGGAUAGCCGGCCCAACGGCCGGGUAAUACCGCGUACGACCUUUCGGGGACAUCCCUGGAAGGUGAAAGCAGCAAUGCGCCGAUGGAGUGCCUCGCGGCCUAUCAGCUAGUUGGUGAGGUAACGGCUCACCAAGGCGACGAUGCGUAGCCGACCUGAGAGGGUNAUCGGCCACAUUGGAGCUGAGACACGGUCCAGACUCCGUACGGGGAGCAGG
rnacentral:rRNA from 1 species